CGCAGCUGAUGGAGCACACCGCGUGAGUGAGAAGGGUUUCGGCUCGUAAAGCUCUGUUGUUAAAGAAGAACACGUAUGAGAGUAACUGUUCAUACGUUGACGGUAUUUAACCAGAAAGUCACGGCUAACUACGUGCCAGCAGCCGCGGUAAUACGUAGGUGGCAAGCGUUAUCCGGAUUUAUUGGGCGUAAAGAGAGUGCAGGCGGUUUUCUAAGUCUGAUGUGAAAGCCUUCGGCUUAACCGGAGAAGUGCAUCGGAAACUGGAUAACUUGAGUGCAGAAGAGGGUAGUGGAACUCCAUGUGUAGCGGUGGAAUGCGUAGAUAUAUGGAAGAACACCAGUGGCGAAGGCGGCUACCUGGUCUGCAACUGACGCUGAGACUCGAAAGCAUGGGUAGCGAACAGGAUUAGAUACC
rnacentral:rRNA from 1 species